rnacentral:lncRNA from 1 species
CAAGAAUCCCCUCCCUGCAUCUUUCUUUCACUUCAUCUGAAACACAACAAUGUGCAUAGCAGCAUUCCUGUGGCAAGCUCACCCGCUCUACCCUCUGCUUCUCUUGCACAACAGAGAUGAAUACCACAAAAGGCCUACAUCACCAGUUGAGUGGUGGACCGACAUCGAUAUAGCAGGCGGAAGAGAUGAGCUGGCCGGAGGGACAUGGCUGGCUUGCUCCAGAGGAGGCAGAGUCGCUUUCCUCACUAAUGUCUUGGAGCUACACGAACGCCCCGAUGCCAACUCCAGAGGCGAGCUCCCUCUUCUUUUCCUCCAGGUUCGCUGAAUUAAUUCCACACCAACGACAUAAUCAUGUUUAGUUUUUGUAAAUUUUGACAACUCUACAUAUUGUACUUGUUGCAUAGAGCUGUAAGAGUCCUAGGGAAUUCGCGGAGGGUCUGGUUAAGAGUAUCCACCAGUACAACGGGUUCAACUUGAUCGUCUCCGACAUUUCGUCCAACACCAUGGUCUACAUCACCAACCGUCCUAAAGGCGAAGCAGGUUCCAUCUUCCGUGAUGUCUCCCCUGGCCUCCAUGUUCUCUCCAAUGCAAACCUCGACUCUCCUUGGCCUAAGGUUAACUUUUAUUUUCCCUUUCUGUGAUUCUGUCCGUCUGUAUUUCUCGUACUUGGUUGGAGUUACUAAAGACGGAAAUCAUGGCAUUUGUAAUAUUUAUAGGCGCAGAAGUUGGGCUUGGGUUUCAAAGAACAGCUGCUCAAGUAUGGGGAAGGGGAGAUUCCAUUGAAAGAAAUAGCAAAGAAGCUGAUGAGGGACAGAGUUAAAGCUGACAAGAACAGAUUGCCUGGUGUUUGUUCUGUUGAUUGGGAGCUUGCUCUGAGCUCCAUUUUCGUUGAAGCCGACACUCCACUACUGGUAAAGCAAUCAGCUAUUACAAGAAACUGUGAUUUUAACAGUAAACUAACAAACAUUCAUGUGGGUUGGGGGGUUCACUUUCAGGGAAGGUGUGGCACGAGGAGCACUAUUGCUUUAGCUGUGACAAGAAAUGGAGAAGUUAGCUUUGAUGAGAGCUACUUGGAAGAUGGGACAUGGAAGGAUAAGACAAUCAAAUACCGAAUUCAGAACAUCCAUCACAAGCUCAAACACUCCAGCAAUUGAACUUGGAAAUAAUGGUCCCAGAUUACUAUUAGGCAUACCAAAUAAAGCAGAGAUGGAGAUGCCAGCAUCUCAAUACUAUACUACUAUCAUAUGAUCAGAUACAUACAUGUAUGUCUAUACUUUAUGGAUCGGGAUAUAGAUGGUAGAUGCACUAAUGUGUGAACAACUUUCUUUAUGCGAUUCCGGUAUCUUUGUACAUCUCGUACACUUUUACAUUACGGAUCACAAAUAAAUGACUUGUCAUCAUAUCAUCGAUACAAAGGAUGUGUUGACUGAUGAGAGUGUUUACAGGAUCUUGUAACUUGUAAGUAUUUGUAUGUCAUUUCAACCUAUUUGAGAUCACGAGUUCAAUGUAUAAAAAAGCAUAAUUAUAUGUAUUUCGAAUGAAGAAGAAUGAAUCCCAAUCGAUUCAUCAAGGAUUAUGAGUAUGACUACCUAGCUUCUAUGCCGAAAGACGAUAUAGUAUUUGAAAAUCUGCAUCGAAAGUCGACUGUUAACAACGUUAACAUAUAUUCGGCACAAUUGACAUACCGUGCAUUUUAACAACGUUAACCGCUAAACAUGUGCGAUUAAUAUUAAAGCCUACAAUGUGAUGUGCUAUAACAAUAUUUAAUGGCUCUGCUUAUUUAGGAUAAAACGUGAGUAGUCAACUCUAUUUACGUGAUUAGUCAACUGAAAAUGACAAUAAAAGAGGGAGAACUAAACUAGCUAAUUACAGGAACCUAAGCACAUGGUUUCAGACCAUAGCAAGCACCUUCUGAAAUGAACUCUGAAAGCUUGCAACUUGGAAGUAAUUUACAAUUUCGGAAGAUAGGAACAUUUAAGUAAAAAACUUAGUUUAUUCGUUAUUUAAUUUCUGAGAAAAGAUGCCGACUAUUGUGAUCCCAUCCGAAAUUUCCUUGAUAAAACUGGCUGCCAAAAGAUAAUGCAGAAAUCGAAAUGCAAGACAAAACAAAAAUACACCACCUUUGUUCUGCUUCUUCAACUUCACCGCCUCAAAAUAUACAAACAAAAUGUGCAUAGCUGCAUUCCUGUGGCGAGCUCACCCGCUCUACCCUCUGCUUCUGCUUCACAACAGAGAUGAAUAUCACAAAAGGCAACGAUUCGAUCCUGCUUAGUCAAUUAGUUUUACCUUCUCUUUUUCUCCUGGUGAUCUGGUUUUUGUUUACUUUUGUGUUGGGGUUUAAGUUCAGGCCUACAUCAGCAGUUGAGUGGUGGACCGACAUCGAUAUAGUCGGAGGAAGAGAUGAGGUUGCCGGAGGGACAUGGAUGGCUUGUUCCAGAGGAGGCAGAGUGGUUUUCCUCACUAACGUUAUGGAGCUCCACGAGCGCCCUGAUGCCAAGUCCCGUGGGGAGCUCCCUCUUCUUUUCCUCCAGGUGAAUACAUCAUCUUUACUCGUUAGGCUGUGAGAGUUUCUCUACAAAGAGAGAUCAUGUAUGUUUCUGUUGAGACAGUCAACACCAUAACACAAUUAAGUCAAACAAAAAAGUUUUAUACCUUGUUCAAAAUGGGUUCAUCAGGAUAGAACAGUUAGACAAAUCUAUAUGUGAUUACCUUAUGCUUGCCGUGCAGAGCUCCAAGGCUCCAAGGGAAUUUGCAGAGGGAAUGGCAAAGGAGGCCGAUCAAUACAACGGCUUUAACCUGAUUGUUGCUGACAUCUUGUCAAACACCAUGGUGUAUGUCUCCAACCGGGAUAAAU